UACGGAGGGUGCAAGCGUUAUCCGGAAUCAUUGGGUUUAAAGGGUCCGCAGGCGGUUUAAUAAGUCAGUGGUGAAAUCCUACAGCUUAACUGUAGAACUGCCAUUGAUACUGUUAAACUUGAAUUCGGUCGAGGUAGGCGGAAUGUGUAGUGUAGCGGUGAAAUGCUUAGAUAUUACACAGAACACCGAUAGCGAAGGCAGCUUACUAGGCCUGAAUUGACGCUGAGGGACGAAAGCGUGGGGAGCGAACAGG
rnacentral:rRNA from 1 species